UACAGAGGUCUCAAGCGUUGUUCGGAUUUAUUGGGCGUAAAGGGCGCGUAGGCGGCGGGGUAAGUCGGGUGUGAAAUCUUGGAGCUUAACUCCGAAACUGCAUUCGAUACUGCCGUGCUUGAGGACUGGAGAGGAGACUGGAAUUUACGGUGUAGCGGUGAAAUGCGUAGAUAUCGUAAGGAAGACCAGUGGCGAAGGCGGGUCUCGUGGACAGUUCCUGACGCUGAGGCACGAAGGCCAGGGGAGCAAACGGG
rnacentral:rRNA from 1 species